UACGUAGGGUGCGAGCGUUGUCCGGAAUUAUUGGGCGUAAAGAGCUUGUAGGCGGUCUGUCGCGUCUGCUGUGAAAAUCCGGGGCUCAACCCCGGACUUGCAGUGGGUACGGGCAGACUAGAGGUGUGGUAGGGGAGACUGGAAUCCUGGUGAUAGCGGUGAAAUGCGCAGAUAUCAGGAGGAACACCGAGUGGCGAAGGCAGGUCUCCUGGGC
rnacentral:rRNA from 1 species